GGAGAGGUGCCGGAGUGGUCGAACGGGGCGGUCUUGAAAACCGCUGACCCGGAAACGGGUCCCAGGGUUCGAAUCCCUGCCUCUCCGCCA
rnacentral:tRNA from 1 species